GGGACACAGACAAAACGGCCCUCGAUCGGGGUCGAGGAUGACGGGGCGAGGACAGAGCAGUCACUGGGGGCAAAGUCACUAGGGCAGGCAGUGGAAGGGGCGCCUGCCCGGGAGCUGCAGGUUGCUGCAGGGGGGGCGCCUGCCCGGGAGCUGCAGGUUGCUGCAGGGGGGGCGCCUGCCCGGGAGCUGCAGGCUGUAGGAGCGGCAGAGAGGGCGCCUCGGGCGUGGUCUCCGCAGGCAGCGGCGGCUGCACGGGAGCGGGGUCCGCAGGCAGCGGCGGCUGCUCGG